rnacentral:rRNA from 1 species
AGACAGGUGGUGCAUGGUUGUCGUCAGCUCGUGUCGUGAGAUGUUGGGUUAAGUCCCGCAACGAGCGCAACCCUACGUUUAGUUGCUAACGCGUGAAGGCGAGCACUCUAGACGAACUGCCGUUGACAAAACGGAGGAAGGUGGGAUGACGUCAAAUCAUCAUGCCCCUUAUGUUCUGGGCUACACACGUGCUACAAUGGCCGGUACAGACGGACGCAAAGCCGCGAGGUGGAGCAAAUCCUAAAAAGCCGGUACUCAGUUCGGAUUGCAGGCUGCAAUUCGCCUGCAUGAAGUCGGAAUCGCUAGUAAUCGCAGGUCAGCAUACUGCGGUGAAUACGUUCCCGGGCCUU